AUAUUUACCUGGCCGGGGAAAUACCAUGAUCAUGGUGUUUUUCCCAAGGCGAGGCUUAACUUCUGCAUUCUGGAUCUGCUCACCCCUACAAUUUCCCCAAAUGUGGGAAACUUGACGACAUAGUUUAUGUUAGUGGGAGACUGUGCUCUACUCUCCUCUA